rnacentral:rRNA from 1 species
UGCGGAACCUGCGGAAGGAUCAUUA